UGUUUACACAAAACAAAAAGAGAAGUAGUAUGUACAUAAAAAUAAAGAAAAUUAUUUACAAAAGAAUCCUAGACACACCGGCAGCUUUACAAUAUUGGAGAACUGGGGAGGUUGAAGGGAAACUGGAUUGUGCCAAAAGAAAAAAGUAACAAAACCAUAAGAAAUCAAGCUAACCCAUUUUAGUCGAAUCCUAAA